UCCGCAAUGGGCGAAAGCCUGACGGAGCAACGCCGCGUGAGGGAGGAAGGUCUUUGGAUUGUAAACCUCUUUUCUCAAGGAAGAAGUUCUGACGGUACUUGAGGAAUCAGCCUCGGCUAACUCCGUGCCAGCAGCCGCGGUAAUACGGGGGAGGCAAGCGUUAUCCGGAAUUAUUGGGCGUAAAGCGUCCGCAGGUGGUCAGCCAAGUCUGCCGUCAAAUCAGGUUGCUUAACGACCUAAAGGCGGUGGAAACUGGCAGACUAGAGAUCGGUAGGGGUAGCAGGAAUUCCCAGUGUAGCGGUGAAAUGAGUGGAGUUUGG
rnacentral:rRNA from 1 species